rnacentral:ncRNA from 1 species
GAAUAUGCGAUUGAGUCAACAGGAGCUGUUUGAUGAGCCUACAAAGCAUCAGGUAGUUCGUUAGGUAAAGACUGACCAAGCCAAGGACGCUUAGCGGGUCUGUUAGGACGAUCCGCCGCACUGGACUGAGACACGGUCCAGACAUCCACGGGG